AAAUGAAUAGACGGGUGCCCGCACAAGCAGCGGAGCGUGUGGUUUAAUUCGAUGCUACACGAAGAACCUUACCUGGGUUUGACAUAUACGUGGUAGAGAAGGGAAACCGGAUCGACCCUUCGGGGAGCGUAUACAGGUGCUGCAUGGCUGUCGUCAGCUCGUGUCGUGAGAUGUCCGGUUAAGUCCGGUAACGAGCGCAACCCCUGCUGUAUGUUACAUGUGUCAUACGGGACUGCCGGUAUCAAGCCGGAGGAAGGUGGGGAUGACGUCAAGUCAGCAUGGCCUUUAUAUCCAGGGCUACACACACGCUACAAUGGUCGGUACAACAGGUUGCAAUACCGCAAGGUGGAGCCAAUCCUCAAAAUCGACCUCAGUUCAGAUUGCAGGCUGCAACUCGCCUGCAUGAAGUCGGAGUUGCUAGUAACCGCGCGUCAGCAUUAGUGCGGUGAAUACGUUCCCGGGCGUUGUACACACCGCCCGU
rnacentral:rRNA from 1 species